AAGCCACUAACUUUAGGUCACCCAGAGUCCCACCCUCCAACAAAGGGACAAACCACUAACUUCAGGUCACCCAGAGAGUGACAAGGGGGACUGCUCCAUGUGAGCAGCUGGUGCUUUUUGAACUUGGUUUCAUCUACAGUGACCCGGGGUAACCCAAUUCCUCACCUUCAAGUCACUUACAGUCUAGUGGAAACAAAACCCAACACAAUUUCAGUUACUGUCUGGUGCUUUGAAGGGAGUGGAACAGGUGAACUUGAGGGGCAGGAGGAAGCAGUUUGGUGAGAAGGUCUCCUGGAGGAGGCAACGGACAAGAAGGGCUCAAUGGGCUUCAUUAGGAGCUGGCAGAGGACGUUCCUGGGAACAGGAACAGAGCAUGCAAAGGGUCCGAGGCAGAGCCCCACUUGAAGGGGGAUCGGCUGCAGUGACAGCUUCUAAUACCCACGACCCACUCCUUCAACCCUCAUAACCGUGCCUUAAGGGGAUUGUGACUGGCUCCAUUUCUUUCUCUUUUUAAUUUUUUUUUUAGAUACUGGGUCACACUCUGUCAGCCAGGUUGGAGUGUAGUGGCACGAUCAUGGCUUACUGCAGCCUCGAACUCUGGGCUCCGCCUAUCCUCCUGCUUCAGCCCCCUCAAGUAGCUGGGACUACAGGCAUGCACCACUAUACCCAGCUCAUUUUUUUUUAACAUUUUUGUAGAGAUGGGGAUCUCACUAUGUGGCCCAGGCUAGUCUCAAACUCCUGACCUCACACUAUCCUUCUAUCGGCCUCCCAAAGUGCUGGGAUUACAGGUGUGAGCCACCACACCUGGCCCAGCCCCAUUUCCCAGAUGAGGAAAGUGUGGCACAGAGAGGUUAGACAAGUUGCCCCAAGGUGACACGGCUGGCAGAGGAGCCAGGGAGUCCCACCCCAGAGCCCUGGAUUUUGACCACUCUGCUGAUGGGAGGGAGGCAUGAGCCGGUGCACAGUUUAUGAAGUCGUGUAAACUGAGAGCAGGAGUUAGAAGUCAGUCAACCAUGUAAUGGGAGUCCUCAAGGGACAGCUAGGCGUUUCUACAGCCAAGCGCAUAUUUGGCCCCAAGCACAAGAAGGCGCGCAACAGAUAAACCAGUGAUCACUUGAUUUUGAUUUGCAAGCAGGCAGUAGGAAAUAAAUUGCAAAGGUGGAGGCCGGAUGCAGUGGCUCAUGCCUAUAAUCCCAGCACUUUGGGAGGCCAAG
rnacentral:lncRNA from 1 species